rnacentral:rRNA from 1 species
CAAUCGCCGCGGUAAUACGAAGGGUGCAAGCGUUACUCGGAAUUACUGGGCGUAAAGCGUGCGUAGGUGGUGGUUUAAGUCCGUUGUGAAAGCCCUGGGCUCAACCUGGGAAUUGCAGUGGAUACUGGGUCACUAGAGUGUGGUAGAGGGUAGUGGAAUUUCCGGUGUAGCAGUGAAAUGCGUAGAGAUCGGAAGGAACAUCUGUGGCGAAGGCGACUAUCUGGGCCAACACUGACACUGAGGCACGAAAGCGUGGGGAGCAAACAGGAUUAGAUACCCGUGUAGUCCCUGUCUCUUAUAC